UUUCCGUAGGUGAACCUGCGGAAGGAUCAUUAAAGAGUAAGGGUCUUCGGGCCCGAUCUCCAACCCUUUGUUUAACUACCAUGUUGCUUUGGCGGGCCCGUCUCACGACCGCCGGAAGUUUGGCUUCGACCAAACUUCUGGCCCGUGCCCGUCAGUGGCCCCUUCAAAUUCUUGAUCAAGUAUGAUGUCUUAGUUAAAAACUUAAUAGUUAAAACUUUCAACAACGGAUCUCUUGGUUCUG
rnacentral:misc_RNA from 1 species